rnacentral:lncRNA from 1 species
GAAGUUUCCUAGUAGGUUCAUCGCUUCUUCCUCUUGGCCCAGGUGAGACCCCAGAACGUUCUGAAAACUUGGAACCUAAAAAGAAGAAAUACAUUGCUCCAGGAUACAAUGAGUGCUUCCAACGUAGUCAAGAAAGACAAGUUAAUGUAUAAAACCAUCAAAUAAACACAGUAUGUACAUUGCUUCUCCAAAAGAGACAGGAGAGGUUACGGAGAAGGGACUCCUGGCCAAUACACACCUAAUGCCUGCCAGCAUUGUAGCCUGGAGAAGUCUAAUGUCUGGGGGCUUCAGCAAGAGUGGACUUGAUCAGGAGAGGACUUUAUCCAGGAUGACUGCUGGUCAAAGGGUGGGGAUGAAGAAUACCAGUAGGUGGCUUUAGUGGCCUGAGACUUGGUUCCCUUGGAAGUUCAAGAGAGGGAUACUGCUGCAAGUAAUGUCAUCCACACCUUGCCUCCCCAGGUCGGAGCUACUGUCUAUGCAACACUCAGAGAUUACCAGACACUUUACCUACAUUGGCAUUUGGUCAACUCAACAACCUUCUGAGACCAUCCCUGAGCUAACAUCUGCUGCCAAUCCUCCUCUUUUUGCUGGGGAAGACUGGCCCUGAGCUAGCAUCCAUGCCUAUCUUCCUCUACUUUAUAUGUUUGAUGCCUACCACAGCAUGGCGUGCCAAGUGGUGCCAUGUCCACACCCAGGAUGUGAACCAGCGAACCCCAGGCUGCUGAGAAGUGGAACAAGCGCACUUAACCGCUGUGCCACCAGGCCGGCCCCUCUGACUGAUCUUGAGAAAGUUAUUGAACUACUAGUGCCUCAGUUUCUUCAUUUUACAG